rnacentral:rRNA from 1 species
CGCAAUGGGCGCAAGCCUGACGGAGCAAGACCGCGUGCGGGAGGACGGCCUAUUGGUUGUAAACCGCUUUUGAUAGGGAAGAAGUUCUGACGGUACCUAUCGAAUCAGCAUCGGCUAACUCCGUGCCAGCAGCCGCGGUAAUACGGAGGAUGCAAGCGUUAUCCGGAAUUAUUGGGCGUAAAGCGUCCGUAGGUGGUUGUUCAAGUCUGCUGUUAAAGCGUGCGGCUUAACCGCAUACCAGCAGUGGAAACUGGGCGACUAGAGUGCGGUAGGGGUCAGGGGAAUUCCCAGUGUAGCGGUGAAAUGCGUAGAUAUUGGGAAGAACACCGGUGGCGAAAGCGCCUGACUGGACCUGCA